rnacentral:rRNA from 1 species
AGAGUUUGAUCCUGGCUCAGAACGAACGCUGGCGGCAGNNNNACACAUGCAAGUCGAACGAGCUGAGACCUUCGGGUCUCGAUGCUAGUGGCGCACGGGUGAGUAACGCGUGGGAACGUACCCUUUAGUACGGAAUAACCCAGGGAAACUUGGGCUAAUACCGUAUACGCCCUUCGGGGGAAAGAUUUAUCGCUAAAGGAUCGGCCCGCGUCUGAUUAGGUAGUUGGUGAGGUAACGGCUCACCAAGCCGACGAUCAGUAGCUGGUCUGAGAGGAUGAUCAGCCACACUGGGACUGAGACACGGCCCAGACUCCUACGGGAGGCAGCAGUGGGGAAUAUUGGACAAUGGGCGAAAGCCUGAUCCAGCCAUGCCGCGUGAGUGAAGAAGGCCUUCGGGUUGUAAAGCUCUUUCGGCGGGGACGAUGAUGACGGUACCCGCAUAAGAAGCCCCGGCAAACUUCGUGCCAGCAGCCGCGGUAAUACGAAGGGGGCUAGCGUUGUUCGGAAUUACUGGGCGUAAAGCGAACGUAGGCGGUGUUCCAUGUCAGAGGUGAAAGCCUGGGGCUCAACUCCAGAAUUGCCUUUGAAACGGGAACGCUUGAGUCCGAGAGAGGGUGGCGGAAUUCCUAGUGUAGAGGUGAAAUUCGUAGAUAUUAGGAAGAACACCAGUGGCGAAGGCGGCCACCUGGCUCGGUACUGACGCUCAGGUUCGAAAGCGUGGGGAGCAAACAGGAUUAGAUACCCUAGUAGUCC